GACGAACGCUGGCGGCGUGCUUAACACAUGCAAGUCGAACGAUGAAGCCUUUCGGGGUGGAUUAGUGGCGAACGGGUGAGUAACACGUGGGCAAUCUGCCCUGUACUUUGGGAUAAGCCUUGGAAACGAGGUCUAAUACCGGAUAUGAUGAGUCCUCGCAUGGGGGUUUGUUGAAAGUUCCGGCGGUACAGGAUGAGCCCGCGGCCUAUCAGCUUGUUGGUGGGGUAAUGGCCUACCAAGGCGACGACGGGUAGCCGGCCUGAGAGGGCGACCGGCCACACUGGGACUGAGACACGGCCCAGACUCCUACGGGAGGCAGCAGUGGGAAUAUUGCACAAUGGGCGAAAGCCUGAUGCAGCGACGCCGCGUGAGGGAUGACGG
rnacentral:rRNA from 1 species